ACUGCUCAGUAACACGUGGACAACCUGCCCUUAGGACGGGGAUAAACCCGGGAAACUGGGUAUAAUACCCGAUAGGUCUCGAUUGCUGGAAUGCAUCGAGAUUUAAAGCUCCGGCGCCUAAGGAUGGGUCUGCGGCCUAUCAGGUAGUAGUGGGUGUAGCGUACCUACUAGCCUACGACGGGUACGGGUUGUGAGAGCAAGAGCCCGGAGAUGGAUUCUGAGACACGAAUCCAGGCCCUACGGGGUGCAGCAGGCGCGAAAACUUUACAAUGCUGGCAACAGCGAUAAGGGAACCUCGAGUGCCAGGUUACAAAUCUGGCUGUCGAGAUGCCUAAAAAGCAUUUCAUAGCAAGGGCCGGGCAAGACCGGUGCCAGCCGCCGCGGUAACACCGGCGGCUCGAGUGGUAACCGUUAUUAUUGGGUCUAAAGGGUCUGUAGCCGGCCGGAUAAGUCUCUUGAGAAAUCUGGCAGCUUAACUGUCAGGCUUCCAGGAGAUACUGUCUGGCUCGAGGCCGGGAGAGGUGAGAGGUACUUCAGGGGUAGGGGUGAAAUCUUGUAAUCCUUGAAGGACCACCAGUGGCGAAGGCGUCUCACCAGAACGGACCUGACGGCAAGGGACGAAAGCUAGGGGCACGAACCGGAUUAGAUACCCGGGUAGUCCUAGCCGUAAACGAUACUCGCUAGGUGUCGGCCACGGUGCGACCGUUGUCGGUGCCGUAGGGAAGCCGUGAAGCGAGCCACCUGGGAAGUACGGCCGCAAGGCUGAAACUUAAAGGAAUUGGCGGGGGAGCAC
rnacentral:rRNA from 1 species